UACGUAGGGGGCUAGCGUUGUCCGGAUUUAUUGGGCGUAAAGAGCGUGUAGGCGGCCAGGUAGGUCUGGUGUGAAAACUCGAGGCUUAACCUUGAGAUGUCAUCGGAAACCAUUUGGCUAGAGUCCGGAAGAGGAAAGUGGAAUUCCUGGUGUAGCGGUGAAAUGCGCAGAUAUCAGGAGGAACACCGGUGGCGAAGGCGGCAUCCUGGACCGGCAUUGACGCUGAGGCGCGAAAGCCAGGGGAGCAAACGGG
rnacentral:rRNA from 1 species